GGAGAAGAGCGCUGCUCCGCUGUGAGGGAGGUGGCGGGAGCUCUGCACGGCCCUGCUCCGCUGCCCAGGGCUGUUUAUCCUUAGCAGCCACUUAAACAAUUUGAGCAAAGCGGCGAAGGCUUGUUUACACCUCCACAGCCAUGAGGAGGCUGAAGGAUAUGAACGAGCCCUUCCAACAUCCUUCUAAAGCCGCAUUAGCAGCAACAAUUCCACCUCAUAGUUCAGGAGAGAGAAAUGGCCAGCCGUGGAAAUGGAGACCUCCAGAAGGACAUGUGCCUCUCCAGGAGCAAACACUGGAAGGAUCCACCUUUCUCCAUGAACCCUAGAUAAGUCACACGGUUGGCUUAAACGAGACGCUUCACGCUUGGAUGGCUGCAGUGAGGUGAGAUGAAUCUGCAUCUGCUGGAGAUGACUGAGAGCAGAUUGUGCAGCAACUGCCAAAAAGGCAAGGAAAUUCUUCCUCAUGCUUGAAAAAUGCUUGAAAAUCA